rnacentral:rRNA from 1 species
UAACAAGGUUUCCGUAGGUGAACCUGCGGAAGGAUCAUUACCGAGUU